UUUCCGUAGGUGAACCUGCGGAAGGAUCAUUCAUAAUAAGUGUUUUAUGGCACUUUUUUAAAUCCAUAUCCACCUUGUGUGCAAUGUCAGGGUUGAUUUUUCUCUCGAGAGGAUCAACCCCAAACAUCAACUAUAUGUCAACUCUUUGUCUGAAAAAUAUUAUGAAUAAAACAAUUCAAAAUACAACUUUCAACAACGGAUCUCUUGGCUCUC
rnacentral:misc_RNA from 1 species